UCACACUUCAGAUUUUCUUUUUACACAAACAUCAGCAGGUCAGAAGUUUGAUCAGGCAUAAGACUGAACCAAAGCGUGGGGUGAAGUUUUCUGAGAGCGAGCCGUGUCAAGAUGUCUCUUUUUGGUGUCUUUAUAGCAGCUGUGCAACAUCAGCCACAGUGGGCUGAAGUGUUGGAGGGGAAAAUGGGUCAAAAGUGUUACACACAGUGGCUUGAUUGUCACUUACACAGACAUUUACUACACUUGGAAACAGAUUAAAGGAGCAUUUCACCUAUAGUACAUCUGAACGUUGUUUAGUUGCUAGCUUUAGUGUAAUUAAGUCUGUCAGAUUAAUGUCUGGUUCAGUCUUUAGGUUUGGUCCUUUCACCUAUCAAUAAGUCAACAACAUAUUU